rnacentral:rRNA from 1 species
UACGGAGGGUGCAAGCGUUAUCCGGAUUCACUGGGUUUAAAGGGUGCGUAGGCGGCGCGGUAAGUCGGGUGUGAAAUCUCGGAGCUUAACUCCGAAACUGCAUUCGAUACUGCCGUGCUUGAGGACUGGAGAGGAGACUGGAAUUUACGGUGUAGCGGUGAAAUGCGUAGAUAUCGUAAGGAAGACCAGUGGCGAAGGCGGGUCUCUGGACAGUUCCUGACGCUGAGGCACGAAGGCCAGGGGAGCAAACGGG